rnacentral:lncRNA from 1 species
CUCCGUCUCCGCAGAGGACGGCUACACGGAGGCCAGCAGCGGGCGGAGGAAAGUGAGGAUCCGCAGCAACUUCGUGAGCGAGAGCGGGGCCCGCGAGGCGCGGGAAGCGGCAGGGUUAGGAGCCCAGGGAGAACAGGAGAGCUGGCCGCCCAGCGACGCGCGGGAGGCCGCCUGGCAGGCGCUGCUGCCCUCCCGCGUGAUCCCCACGUCCAUCGAAGAGAUCAUCGCCUCUCUGCAGUCCGAGGCCCAGCUGGCCUCCGACCAGACCAUCAAAGAGCUCAUACGGAGCGUCCUUGGACAGAACUACGACAUUACAAUGGAAGAUAUUUCUUUAAUGGGAAAAAUGUACCUCAAAACAUCACCUAUGCAAGCAGAAACACCUGAGAUACAAGCAGAGUAUAAAUUCCAGAUGGG